rnacentral:rRNA from 1 species
UAGGGAAUCUUCGGCAAUGGACGGAAGUCUGACCGAGCAACGCCGCGCGAGUGAAGAAGGUUUUCGGAUCGUAAAGCUCUGUUGUUAGAGAAGAACGUUGGUAGGAGUUGAAAAUCUACCAAGUGACGGUAACUAACCAGAAAGGGACGGCUAACUACGUGCCAGCAGCCGCGGUAAUACGUAGGUCCCGAGCGUUGUCCGGAUUUAUUGGGCGUAAAGCGAGCGCAGGCGGUUCUUUAAGUCUGAAGUUAAAGGCAGUGGCUUAACCACUGUACGCUUUGGAAACUGGAGGACUUGAGUGCAGAAGGGGAGAGUGGAAUUCCAUGUGUAGCGGUGAAAUGCGUAGAUAUAUGGAGGAACACCGGUGGCGAAAGCGGCUCUCUGGUCUGUAACUGACGCUGAGGCUCGAAAGCGUGGGGAGCAAACAGG